AUUGAACGCUGGCGGCAGGCCUAACACAUGCAAGUCGAGCGGAGCGGCGGACGGGUGAGUAAUGCUUAGGAAUCUGCCUGGUAGUGGGGGAUAACGUACGGAAACGGGCGCUAAUACCGCAUACUAUCAGAUGAGCCUAGGUCGGAUUAGCUAGUUGGUGGGGUAAAGGCCUACCAAGGCGACGAUGCGUACCUGGUCUGAGAGGAUGAUCAGUCACACUGGAACUGGGACACGGUCCAAAUUCCUACGGGAGGAGGAAGGGGGGAAUAUUCGACAAUGGGCGAAGUCCUGAGCCGGCAAUGCCGCGUGUGUGAAGAAGGUCUUCGGAUUGUAAAGUACGUUAAGUUGGGAGGCGUUACCAGCAGAGUAAGCAACGGCUAACUACGUGCCAGCCGCCGCGGUAAUUC
rnacentral:rRNA from 1 species